AGACAUUUUGGGCUGGAAGGACCCGUUUUUCGAGUGAAGUCACAGAGGCCAGAGGACAGCAACCUCAGAGCCUGCCUGCCUCAAAGCCGAAGGAAGGGGCUCUGCUGACGAUGGAACUGCUCUCUCUGAAGGUGGAGGAUUGACAGGAGCUGCCUGGCUGAGGCCGAGGCAAGCCUUGUGCCCAGGCCAGAGCUGGAGCCCACAGCUGCAGCUGGGAAGAUGCCCCCAGGACCUCUGAGCAGUUUGCACAUGGCAUCGGGCCCCGUGGGUCCGGUCCACACCCCCGUCUUGCCCUGAGGGAGCCCAGCCCAGAGACUUGAGGCAGCCUGCUUGGGGUCUCACAGCAGUAAGAUGGCCCAGGGGUCCGGGCCUGUGGCCACCCAUGCUCCUGGCUGGCCUGGAGCCAUGUGUGGGGGUUUGUGUGUGUGUCCCUGUGUGAGUGUGUGUCUGAACACACA
rnacentral:lncRNA from 10 species